rnacentral:tRNA from 1 species
UUAAUUGAAACCAAAAAGAGGUAUGUCACUGUUAAUGACAAAAUUGAAACAUAUUCCAAUUAAA